UGGGAAUGGAAAAAGAGGUGGGCAGCUCA
rnacentral:piRNA from 1 species